rnacentral:lncRNA from 7 species
GUUUGUUAGGAUCCGCCCACCGAAUACUUAAGCAAGGGUCACGAUGCCGGUUCCUUAUAGACCCGUUUUCCUCUCUACAGCCGAACUCGAGCCACCAUCGCCAUUGCAGGGAGGACGACGCCAUGAGAGACCGAGCAUGUCGCACUCGAGUUCAUACCGUGGAGGAGGUUCGCAGGGGACCUCUGGAUCCGUCAGACUACGCCGCACGAUGAUGAGAAGUCUCUGCAUCUGUCGCUGGUGAGUCACCUUGAGUUGGUUCA